rnacentral:rRNA from 1 species
GGGUCGGUAGGUUGGUCGUGCCACCGGUACGUACUGGUCUCACUGAUUCCUCCUUCCUGAAGAACCGUAAUGCCAUUAAUUUGGUGUUGCGGGGAAACAGGACUGUUACUUUGAAAAAAUUAGAGUGUUUAAAGCAAGCUAACGCUUGAAUACAUUAGCAUGGAAUAAUGGAAUAGGACGAUCGAUCCUAUUUUGUUGGUUUCUAGGAUUGACGUA